UAUUCUACAAACAAAAGUAAAAAACAAAACCCUAACAAUUCAUUCUCAUCUCAUCUCACACAUUUGCGCAGCUAGAGCCUGGAGGAGAGAGUUGAGCUCCUUCUCUCAUCUCAUAGCAGUCUCUCUCUCUCUCGUUUUUCAUCGCCGAUCGAUCUCUGCUUUCUCAUCGCAACUCUGUCCGCAGCUUCACUUCGAAUCUCACCCUCUCGUGCUUCACAAGAUCAACUCUGCUCAGCUUCACUUCAAAUCUCACUCUCUCGUGCUUCGCAAGAUCGACUCUGCUCAGGUACUUUGGAGUCAAGCACAUCUUCAACUUCAACCUAUAAUGUUGAUGCUAUAAUUGAUGUCUAAUAUCCAUUUGGUCAUUGUUUGUUUUUGUGCAGGGUUCAUCAACCAAAUGCAUGGAAUUAGAAUUGGAAUUGGAAUUGGAAUUGGAAUUUGUGAAAGUUGAAUUGGAUGUGAUUUAUGAAGAUAAAGUUUGAUAUCUUAGAAAUGUUUUAAUUUUAUUUCAUGGGUUUGUAUUGAAUGAAGUUUGACAACAAUUUUUUUUUUUUAUUUGUGUUUUGGUUUUGGAUGAAUGUAAGUUAAUGAAUUUUUAUUUUUUUUGCA